rnacentral:lncRNA from 1 species
UAGAGAGAGAGAGAGAGAGAGAGAGAGAGAGAGAGAGAGAGAGAGAGAGAGAGAGAGAGAGAGAGAGAGAGGACACAUGUUGGAAUGAAUCGGUCUCUGAUCGCACAGGAAGGCUCACCUCUCUGACCGUGAAUGCAGACAUGAUGAGUGAACGUUCAUCUGAGUAGAAGACUCUACUGUAGAUCUGCAGCUCCGUGCAUUGACUCUGUGCAUUGACUCUGUGCACUGAGCGGGAUCUUCGCCUCACUUCCUCCCGCAGACAUGAGCUCUCUGCAAGGAGAGAAGGCAGCAGGAGUCGGUUCGGAGGACCAGUACCGCGCCUUGGCCUGUGACACUGCGCUCAGCACGCUGGUGGCCGUGGUUCUCUACGUGCUGCUCAAAGUCAGCCUGGACGGCUUCAGGCAGUGGAGAGCACGGAUCUCGGUGCUCAUCGUGGGAUCGGGACCGGUGGGACUGACGGCCGCCCUGGUCGCUGUCCGCUCCGGGAAGGUGCUGAGGCUCACCGUGGUGGACGAGCGUUACCGGAGCGCGCUGCUCUGUCGGCCCCAGCAGAUCGCUCUGGAUCCCCGUAGCGUAAAGUUCCUGCUGGGACUGGGGGUGGACUUUGAUAACAUGGAGGGCUGCUGGCACAACGAGCACUUCUUCACCAGGAUAGGAGUGUUCCAGGAGUACCUGCUGAGCAUCCUGGAGAAGAAGAAGCAGAGUGUGGACGUCCAAGUCCAGCUCGGUACCAAGUUCACAGACGAAUACCUGCGGCGGGUUCAACAAAGCGAGGGGCCUCGUAUCAUCGUGGUCGCUGACGGCUCGUGUGGGGACUCGUGCUCCGUGUUGGGAAUCAGCUCUGACUACACAGUGGAGUCCUGCCACGCCUUCGGAGCUAACGCUUCCAUAGAGAGACUGGACCAGAGGCAGGUUCCGACCCCUGAGAUCCGAGCCCACAGCCUGUACUUUGACCUGUCUGCUUACGGAGUGGAGGCCCUGCGUGAGCAUCGAAACCCAGCAGCUAAAUCAGGAUUUCACCUGAAGAUUUACGGCACCUUCAGAAACCGUUACAUGGCUCUGGUCUGCCCCUCCUCCGACACCAGGAUGGUUCGCUUCCUGCGGCACACGGCCAACUCCUCCAUAAUGAAGAACAUCUUCCACCAGUCCUUUAACGCCUACAAGACGGACAUCGAGCCUCGUCUCAGCGACGUCACCCACCACCACAUGCAGUGCAGUCGGCGUCUCUUUGAGGUCCAGCUGUCACACAAACGCGUCAGCGCCGCAUACAUCGAGGGCGACAACGUGGCGGUCACCGUGGAGGGCGAGGCAGCUCGAGUGCUCAAUUUUGACACAGGACUUUGAUGUGAACCUGGGCCUACCGUGGUAUGGAGUCCCAUGCGGAGGUUUAUUUUACCGCACUGCUACAGCUGUGGACCAGGCCGAUGUGAUGGAGGCUCUGUCCGAUAAAAUGCAGCACUCCAGACACGUGGCCCAGUGCUUCAAACAAACAGGUCUGACUGAGUCCAUGUUCCAGUGAAUCAAUGUGGAGACACAUGUUUAAUGUGUUCUACCAGAGGAUGAGGAGAAGGAAUGAGCUUUGCUUGGAUAAAGGACGUGUUCUUUGGCCUCUUUAAUUGUGAUUCACUAAUGACUUAAAAUCAUUUCAUUUGUUGCACCUGUAUUUGUAUUUGUAGUGGAGAGUUAGACUCAUUUUACCUCAGGGGUCACAUGCAGUGCAAUUUGAUCCUAAACGUAAAAUAACGAUCCGUUAAUAAUUAGAACUCAAAGAUUAUUAAUACAUUAGGAUAGUUACAUGUUAAAAAACUAUCAUUUUACUUCACGUCAUAAAAAAAAAUCCUAAUAUUUUAAAAUAACUGUAAUUUCAACAAUAAUACGCCUCAGUUUAAUCACAAGUGCAUUAAAGCUGACGGACGUCAGGAUUUUUUUAAAACUCAUUUAAACAUAUUUACCCUCACUGUUACUGAAAUAUUCCAAAAAAAUCACUCCAAAAACACACAAAAAAAAAAAAAAAAAACACAAAAUCACAGAAGAAAACACAGAAUAAACAAGAAAAAUAUACAAAAUGACUGGAAAAA